UACGUAGGUGGCAAGCGUUGUCCGGAUUUAUUGGGUUUAAAGGGUGCGUAGGCGGCCCUGUAAGUCAGUGCUGAAAUAUCCCAGCUUAACUGGGAGGGUGGCAUUGAUACUGCGGGGCUAGAGUGCAGAAGGGGCAACUGGAAUUCUCGGUGUAGCGGUGAAAUGCGUAGAUAUCGAGAGGAACACCUGCGGCGAAGGCGGGUUGCUGGGCUGACACUGACGCUGAAGCGCGAAAGCUAGGGGAGCGAACGGG
rnacentral:rRNA from 1 species